rnacentral:rRNA from 1 species
AGUGAACGCUGGCGGUAGGCCUAACACAUGCAAGUCGAACGGCAGCACAGUAAGAGCUUGCUCUUACGGGUGGCGAGUGGCGGACGGGUGAGGAAUACAUCGGAAUCUACUUUUUCGUGGGGGAUAACGUAGGGAAACUUACGCUAAUACCGCAUACGACCUACGGGUGAAAGCAGGGGAUCUUCGGGCCUUGCGCGAUUGAAUGAGCCGAUGUCGGAUUAGCUAGUUGGCGGGGUAAAGGCCCACCAAGGCGACGAUCCGUAGCUGGUCUGAGAGGAUGAUGAGGGACACUGGAACUGAGACAGGGUCCAGGCUCCUACGGGAGGCAGCAGUGGGGAAUAGUGGACAAUGGGCGCAAGCCUUAUCCAGCCAUACCGCGGGGGUGAAGAAGGCCUUCGGGUUGUAAAGCCUUUUUGUUGGGAAAGAAAAGCAGCAGGUUAAUACCCCGCUGUUCUGACGGUACCCAAAGAAUAAGCACCGGCUAACUUCGUG